rnacentral:rRNA from 1 species
GAUGAACGCUGGCGGCGUGCCUAAUACAUGCAAGUCGAGCGAACGGACGAGAAGCUUGCUUCUCUGAUGUUAGCGGCGGACGGGUGAGUAACACGUGGAUAACCUACCUAUAAGACUGGGAUCACUUCGGGAAACCGUAGCUAAUACCGGAUAAUAUUUUGAACCGCAUGGUUCAAAAGUGAAAGACGGUCUUGCUGUCACUUAUAGAUGGAUCCGCGCUGCAUUAGCUAGUUGGUAAGGUAACGGCUUACCAAGGCAACGAUGCAUAGCCGACCUGAGAGGGUGAUCGCCCACACUGGAGCUGAGACACGGUCCAGGCUCCUGCGGGAGGCAGCAGUAGGGAAUCUUCCGCAGUGGGCGAGAGCCUGACGGAGCAGCGCCGCGUGAGUUAUGAAGGUCUUCGGAUCGUAAAACUCUGUUAUUAGUGAAGAACAUAUUUGGAAGUAACUGUGCACAGCUUGACGGUACCGAAUCAGAAAGCCCCGGCUAACUACGUG